rnacentral:rRNA from 1 species
CAGCAGCCGCGGGAAUACGAGGGGGGCAAGCGUUGUUCGGAUUUAUUGGGCGUAAAGGGUGCGUAGGCGGUUUGGCAAGUCUCGUGUGAAAUCUUCGGGCUCAACCCGAAGCCUGCACGAGAAACUACCGGGCUUGAGUAUUGGAGAGGUGAGUGGAAUUUCCGGUGUAGCGGUGAAAUGCGUAGAUAUCGGAAGGAACACCUGUGGCGAAGGCGGCUCACUGGACCAUUACUGACGCUGAGGCGCGAAAGCUAGGGGAGCAAACAGGAUUAGAUACCCCGGUAGUCCCUGUCUCUUAUAC